CCUGUAUGAUCACCUAAGUUAAGCACUGUCAAGGCUGGGCAGUACCUAGAUGGGUGACCACUUGGGAAUACCAGGUGCUGUA